UACAGAGGGUGCGAGCGUUAAUCGGAAUGACUGGGCGUAAAGGGCGCGUAGGUGGUUUAUUAAGUGAGUUGUGAAAUUCCUGGGCUUAACCUAGGGACUGCAAAUUAGACUGAUAAGCUGGAGUGCAGCAGAGGGUAGAAGAAUUUCCGGUGUAGCGGUGAAAUGCGUAGAUAUCGGAAGGAAUACCGGUGGCGAAGGCGGCUACCUGGGCUGAGACUGACACUGAGGCGCGAGAGCGUGGGUAGCAAACAGG
rnacentral:rRNA from 1 species